AAGGCUAUGUUGGCCGGGCGACGGUUGUCCCGGUUUAAGCGUGUAGGCUGGUUUUCCAGGCAAAUCCGGAAAAUCAAGGCUGAGGCGUGAUGACGAGGCACUACGGUGCUGAAGCGACAAAUGCCCUGCUUCCAGGAAAAGCCUCUAAGCAUCAGGUAACAUCAAAUCGUACCCCAAACCGACACAGGUGGUCAGGUAGAGAAUACCAAGGCGCUUGAGAGAACUCGGGUGAAGGAACUAGGCAAAAUGGUGCCGUAACUUCGGGAGAAGGCACGCUGAUAUGUAGGUGAAGCGACUUGCUCGUGGAGCUGAAAUCAGUCGAAGAUACCAGCUGGCUGCAACUGUUUAUUAAAAACACAGCACUGUGCAAACACGAAAGUGGACGUAUACGGUGUGACGCCUGCCCGGUGCCGGAAGGUUAAUUGAUGGGGUUAGCGGUAACGCGAAGCUCUUGAUCGAAGCCCCGGUAAACGGCGGCCGUAACUAUAACGGUCCUAAGGUAGCGAAAUUCCUUGUCGGGUAAGUUCCGACCUGCACGAAUGGCGUAAUGAUGGCCAGGCUGUCUCCACCCGAGACUCAGUGAAAUUGAACUCGCUGUGAAGAUGCAGUGUACCCGCGGCAAGACGGAAAGACCCCGUGAACCUUUACUAUAGCUUGACACUGAACAUUGAGCCUUGAUGUGUAGGAUAGGUGGGAGGCUUUGAAGUGUGGACGCCAGUCUGCAUGGAGCCGACCUUGAAAUACCACCCUUUAAUGUUUGAUGUUCUAACGUUGGCCCGUAAUCCGGGUUGCGGACAGUGUCUGGUGGGUAGUUUGACUGGGGCGGUCUCCUCCUAAAGAGUAACGGAGGAGCACGAAGGUUGGCUAAUCCUGGUCGGACAUCAGGAGGUUAGUGCAAUGGCAUAAGCCAGCUUGACUGCGAGCGUGACGGCGCGAGCAGGUGCGAAAGCAGGUCAUAGUGAUCCGGUGGUUCUGAAUGGAAGGGCCAUCGCUCAACGGAUAAAAGGUACUCCGGGGAUAACAGGCUGAUACCGCCCAAGAGUUCAUAUCGACGGCGGUGUUUGGCACCUCGAUGUCGGCUCAUCACAUCCUGGGGCUGAAGUAGGUCCCAAGGGUAUGGCUGUUCGCCAUUUAAAGUGGUACGCGAGCUGGGUUUAGAACGUCGUGAGACAGUUCGGUCCCUAUCUGCCGUGGGCGCUGGAGAACUGAGGGGGGCUGCUCCUAGUACGAGAGGACCGGAGUGGACGCAUCACUGGUGUUCGGGUUGUCAUGCCAAUGGCACUGCCCGGUAGCUAAAUGCGGAAGAGAUAAGUGCUGAAAGCAUCUAAGCACGAAACUUGCCCCGAGAUGAGUUCUCCCUGAGACUUAGAGUCUCCUGAAGGAACGUUGAAGACGACGACGUUGAUAGGCCGGGUGUGUAAGCGCAGCGAUGCGUUGAGCUAACCGGUACUAAUGAACCGUGAGGCUUAACCUUACAA
rnacentral:rRNA from 1 species